GACGAACGCUGGCGGCGUGCUUAACACAUGCAAGUCGAACGAUGAAGCUAGAGCUUGCUCUGGUGGAUUAGUGGCGAACGGGUGAGUAACACGUGAGUAACCUGCCCCGAACUCUGGGAUAACUGCUGGAAACGGUAGCUAAUACCGGAUAUGACCAAUGAAGGCAUCUUCUGUUGGUGGAAAGAAUUUCGGUUCGGGAUGGACUCGCGGCCUAUCAGCUUGUUGGUGAGGUAACGGCUCCCCAAGGCGACGACGGGUAGCCGGCCUGAGAGGGUGAUCGGCCACACUGGGACUGAGACACGGCCCAGACUCCUACGGGAGGCAGCAGUGGGAAUAUUGCACAAUGGGCGCAAGCCUGAUGCAGCAACGCCGCGUGAGGGACGACGGCCUUCGGGUUGUAAACCUCUUUUAGUAGGGAAGAAGCGAAAGUGACGGUACCUGCAGAAAAAGCACCGGCUAACUACGUGCCAGCCGCCGCCGUAA
rnacentral:rRNA from 1 species